ensembl:lncRNA
AACGAUGAAACUCCGCGUGCGCGUGCUCGGGAAAUGCAGCGUAAAGUCAUUUCUGCAGGUAAACUCUUGAGUCUGACUCUGCGCAUCUUCGCCAAAGUUUAUCUUCAAUUAAUCCAUCGGGUCACAGGGAAACCUGGAGCCUAUCCCAGGGAGCAUCGGGCACAAGGCGGGGUACACCCUGGACAGGGUGCCAGUCCAUCACAGGCACAAUCACAGGCACAAUCACAUACACAUUCACAACACUUGUCUUUGGACUGGCGGAGGAAACCGGAGUACCCAGAGGAAACCCCCGCAGCACGGGGAUAACAUGCAAACUCCACACACAGGGCCAUGGUGGGAAUCGAACCCCCAACCCUGGAGGUGUGAGAUAUAUUGCAGUCUGUUUGCCUCCUUCAGCCUUCAGAUGCUCUGUGCAUGUAAA